GAGUUUGAUCGUGGCUCAGAUUGAACGCUGGCGGAAUGCUUUACACAUGCAAGUCGAGCGGCAGCGCGGGGCAACCUGGCGGCGAGCGGCGAACGGGUGAGUAAUGCAUCGGAACAUGUCCAUGUCGUGGGGGAUAGCCCGGCGAAAGCCGGAUUAAUACCGCAUACGCCCGAGAGGGGAAAGUGGGGGACCGCAAGGCCUCACGCGAUUGGGUUGGCCGAUGUCCGAUUAGCUAGUUGGCGGGGUAAGAGCCCACCAAGGCGAUGAUCGGUAGCUGGUCUGAGAGGAUGAUCAGCCACACUGGGACUGAGACACGGCCCAGACUCCUACGGGAGGCAGCAGUGGGGAAUUUUGGACAAUGGGGGAAACCCUGAUCCAGCCAUUCCGCGUGAGUGAAGAAGGCCUUCGGUUGUAAG
rnacentral:rRNA from 1 species